CUAGAAAAACAGGAAUUGAACCUGAACCAGAAAACUCAAAACUUUCUGUACUCCCACUAUACUAUUUCCUA
rnacentral:tRNA from 1 species